rnacentral:rRNA from 1 species
UACGUAGGGUGCGAGCGUUGUCCGGAUUUAUUGGGCGUAAAGAGCUCGUAGGCGGUCUGUCGCGUCGGAUGUGAAAACCCGGGGCUCAACCCUGGGCCUGCAUUCGAUACGGGCAGACUAGAGUACGGCAGGGGAGACUGGAAUUCCUGGUGUAGCGGUGAAAUGCGCAGAUAUCAGGAGGAACACCGGUGGCGAAGGCGGGUCUCUGGACAUUUCCUGACGCUGAGGCACGAAAGCCAGGGGAGCAAACGGG